CCUACGGGGGGCUGCAGUCGAGGAUAGUCUACAAUGGUCGAGAGAUUGAUAGUGCGACGCCGCGUGAACGAUGAAGCAUUUCGGUGUGUAAAGUUCUUUUCUAUGGGAGCAGGAUAUUGGAUGUGAAUAGUAUCUGAUAUUUGAUAUUACUAUAGGAAUAAGCCACGGCUAACUCCGUGCCAGCAGCCGCGGUAAUACGGGGGUGGCAAGCGUUGUCCGGAAUUACUAGGCGUAAAGGGCAGGUAGGCGGUUGUAUAAGUUAAUCGUUAAAGGCCCAUGCUUACCAUGGGUAAGGCGGUUGAUACUGUAUGACUGGAAGACGGUGGGGGAAGACGGAAUUCCUGGUGUAGCGGUGGAAUGCGCAGAUAUCAGGAGGAACACCAAAGGCGAAGGCAGUCUUCUACGCCGAUUUUGACGCUAAACUGCGAAGGUGUGGGUAUCAAACAGGAUUAGAUACCCGUGUAGUC
rnacentral:rRNA from 1 species